CCUACGGGGGGCAGCAGUCGAGAAUCAUUCACAAUGGGGGAAACCCUGAUGGUGCGACGCCGCGUGGGUGAAUGAAGGUCUUCGGAUUGUAAACCCCUGUCAUGUGGGAGCAAAUUAAAAAGAUAGUACCACAAGAGGAAGAGACGGCUAACUCUGUGCCAGCCGCCGCGGUAAUACAGAGGUCUCAAGCGUUGUUCGGAAUCACUGGGCGGAAAGCGUGCGUAGGCUGUUUCGUAAGUCGUGUGUGAAAGGCGCGGGCUCAACCCGCGGACGGCACAUGAUACUGCGAGACUAGAGUAAUGGAGGGGUAACCGGAAUUCGUGGUGUAGCAGUGAAAUGCGUAGAUAUCGAGAGGAACACUCGUGGCGAAGGCGGGUUCCUGGACAUUAACUGACGCUGAGGCACGAAGGCCAGGGGAGCGAAAGGGAUUAGAUACCCCAGUAGUC
rnacentral:rRNA from 1 species